CCUCGGAUUUUAAUUCCAGUUGAAAUGAAAACGAGAUGAGUUUGUUGCAUCAUUUGAUACACUUCUGGAAGACAGCAGAUACUUGUAAUGUAGAAGGUGUUAUCAAAAAUGGGGAGAAAAUACAAUAGUGAUGGAGGUUUCCAGAGAUGCUAGGGCUGGGCCUGUGCUUCUAAAGUCUGUAACAGUAAGGCAGAACAGUUAUGUUCCUCUGGAAAAGGCUUUGCUAUGGAAAGUAGCAGUUUGGGCCAACUAAACAUUGCUUUUGGAGGACCAAACAGGCCUGAAAUGCACCUCUCGAGGCCAAAGAAUGGAAAAAUUGAUGGAGUGCAUUAAGCUGUUUCCAGGAUGUCAGAGGGGUCUUUGAUAGAGCUGAUCAUCCUAGCUCUGCAGUGACAACACAGAUGACAGAUGAUACUCAGAGGAGCCCCUUAUUCAUCUCCAGCUGCAGCAACUCCACCGCAGUCACGCUGUGUGUGUGGCUGCAGCUGCACGCCCAGCACAGCCCCAGGAAUGCUACCUCCGGAGACAAAUCAUCUCCUUUUCCUGGGUGGUGGAAGGAUGCUUUGGUGCAGAGAAGUGUGUUGCUGACCAGACCUCCUCCAGAAUCUGACCGGCAUCCCAGAGGAAUUUUCUGUGGCACAGUGGAAGUCUCAGUGAGAAUCACCGUGUGAAGGUCAAAAGGAACAUUAGAGAAAUUUGGAGGCACAUUAGGGUCUGAGAGGAAAAAAAAAGAACUGUGAGUAAAUUGAAAAAGAACAUUGGAGAACUAUAUUGGGUCUUGUAGUGAAGGACACAGAUUCCUAGUUAGUGGCUUCUGUGAUCAUGUCACUGUUAAAUGAACAGCUGGACCAGCUGCUAUACAGUAAAAAAAAAGUCCAAUUUGCAGUUAUGGUACUAUAAAAACCUUGUAAUCCCUCACUUCCAAUUGCCACAUGAACAUGUCUUUUUGGUAUGAAUAACUGGGUUUACUGCUACAUAAGAAAUAAGAAAUGCAUGUAUUUCAUUUUAUUCAACACGGUUGACCCUGGAGAUGUUCACAAAAUGUGUCAAGCUAUGCAAAUCAAGUCAAAAUAAAUAUAGUAGAAUCAGAUGUUUAGAAUUUGUU
rnacentral:lncRNA from 1 species